rnacentral:tRNA from 1 species
GGGGUUGUGGCUCAGCGGUAGAGCAUUCACCUUACACAUGCAAGACCCUGGGUUCUAUCCUCAGCACCA